UGCAGUGAUAUACAGUAGGCUUUACUUAGACAAGUCGACUCCUCUGUGCCAUUAGGCCUAACAGGGUCAGACUGUGGGAGAGCCAUAGUGUAGAAGUAAAAGAGAGGACUGCUAUCAAAUAAAUAGGAACAUCUGCCUCAGUGUGUGUCUACUGUAUGCUUGUGCAUGUGUUUUUACACGACUAACACACAUUUUUACCAGCCCUCGUUUGCUAUUGCUCUUUGAAACACACAUGCAACUCUAAAUAUCAGACAAAACUUUAUUCAACUUGAUUCCAUUUGAGUAGCUGUUCUCUAAUGUCUUUUUUUGCCAAGUGGAAUCCCUCAUAGAAGCGGCAUAUUUGUGUGUUAUGGAGGCAGACAGCUGAUAGUGUCCAUUUGUCAUGCUGUCAAGUUAAUUACCAGAUUCAAAAGGAGAAUGAGAUUACCCCCUCCCCUUCCAACGGACACUCACACCUCCACACUUGCAACACACACUCUCUCGCGCGCACACACCCACACACACACAGAAACAUACACACUUAAGUGUCACAAGGUUAUUUUCAGUGUGCAUUGGAACAACUUACUGGAGUAGAGUGGACAACAUCAGAAGUUUAGCACAAUUGCACAAGGUCAGGCCAAUGUCUUUAGCUGUGAGUGUGUGUCUGUGUGUAUGUUACAGUGACUGAAGCCGCAGGUUACCUUUUACAUAUUUUACUUUACUUCCAUCACAGCAAAAAAGGAAAUCUUUUGGCUCUUUUUGAAGGUCUUGUUAAAAAUGUUCUUUGCUUUUUUCCUGCUCUCCUGCCCACUGAGAAACUAGCUCUUUGCCACAAGUGAAAAGUAAUUCUUAUGUACUUUAACUGUGUUCUGUGCAAAGAAGUUUGUGUCCAUACUUGUGUAAUCAAAGAGGACACUUUGAAAAAGCGGACAGAUCAUUAGCGCAUAAUGAGCUGAAGUACUUUGGGCAGUGAGGAGGAUUUCCUCAAUAAGCGAUGGCUUAAGGAGAUGGAUACAAGAGGGUGGAAAUCAGAUUCUCUCCGCUGCAGACAACCUUUCUUCUCCCCAGCCAGGAGUUUUAUCCAGGAGCCCGAGGGUUUUAAAAAGUCAUGGACUGCUUAGUUUAGACGUGAUGAGGCUCUGUGACGGCACCCAGCUGGCCAAAGUUCUGCAAGGGUGGCCUUGGUGACAUCACAGCAAGUGGCGCGUGACAAACCGGCAGCACGCAAGUCGCGACCCACGAAAUAAUCUCCGACAGACGAGGACAAGGGCCAUCUUGGCUUGGACUCCCACCUGAUGCCCUUUUACCCCAUCCUCUGCCAUCACAAAAGGCAGGCUGGGCUUUCGGAAAGGUGUCAAAUGCACAGCGCGUAUCGCCAAAAGGAAAGUUGCUUCUUGUCAGGUGAUGACAAGUAAGUGACAGAUUCCACGCACAGCAGUGCAGAGCACACAGGCCCAACAGUGGCCCGGGACGCCGCCUUUGUUGAGGUGUCAGUUGCCGUCGCAGCAUCUCAGCAUGGUUCACCACUGGGCAUGACAGGGGAUGCAGACCCCAUGAAGGGGGAUUAGCACCACACCUAUUGUCUGAGAUGCUGGAUUUGGCUGCAUGGCUAUUCAACGACUGUAUUUCUAUUCUUUGGCACUUGACAGGGACGCUCAGUGGCCCCACUUUUGUUCCGCUGCAGUAUCAGAAUGUGUUCAUGUCAUGCCCCCAGCCUAGGCCCUUAUUAUCUCAGUUGACAUGACGAGGAAAGGUGCGAUGGUAGAUUCUGUUAUUGCUGUUUGCUGCCUGACCUGCAGGUUAGGGUGUUUUUUAAUGGGUUAGGUAGAAGCUUGCUUCUCAUGUAUAAUUUACUGUUGAUUCUGUUAAUGCUGAAAGGAGAGCAUGUUGACCGAGACUUAACCUAUGUGGGUUUGGUCGGAUUUGAUGUUAUGAAUACAAAAUUAAGGGAUUUUUUGGGUGUUUGUUGGUUUUGUUUUAUUUGCAUUCAUUUAUGAUUCAAAUCAA